rnacentral:misc_RNA from 1 species
UUAACUAUUUAUAUAGUACUCAGACGACAUAUAAUACAGAGUUUGGGGUCCUUUGCCGGGCGAACCCGGCAAAGCAACAAAGGUACAAUAACACAGGGUGGAGAUCUACCCGUAAGGGCAAGAUACUCUGUAAUGAUCCUUCCGCAGGUUCACCUACGGAAA